GGGCGGUUGGCGCAGUGGUAGCGCACUUCCCUGACACGGAAGGGGUCGUAGGUUCGAUUCCUACAUCACCCA
rnacentral:tRNA from 1 species